AGAGACAAGGCAAUGGCAAACCACUUCUGAAAAACCCUACUAAGAAAAUUUCAGGGACUUCUUCAGGCAAUCACCAGAAGAAAAGACUGACUUGAAGGCACACAAGAAAAAAAAAGAUUCAUUUUCUAAUAAAAAAUCAAUACAAUUGGUGCCUAUACAUCUGGGAGGAGCGGAGGCUUGGCAAUUGCAGUACAGACUGAGACUAUUCAUUGAAAAUGAAAGAAAUCCUUCACUCAGCACUCCACUGAAAUAUGGAAUUUGCUACCACGUUGUAUAGAUAGCCAACUUUGAAAAUGGCAGAGAAAAUUAUUGAAGGAUAAGAUAAUGAAUGGCUGGUAGCCAAGAUGGCUGAUAUCUUAAUGAUGAGAACUGGAAGAUCUCUGAGUAUGGGGUUAUCUCCACAGUUUGAAGAUAAGAUGUUGUCAUCUUCUUUUCCCUGGAAGCUCCCAAUGAAAAAAAAUAUUUUUCCUGUCCUUCCAUCCUGGCAUUCAGAAGAUCAGUGAAGCAAUUCAUAUUUUGGGGGAUUUUGGAUUUAAUUUAAAAUAAAUUUUGUUGAGUUGAAAGCACAA